rnacentral:rRNA from 1 species
AAUGAACCGUGAGGCUUAACCUUACAACGCCGAAGAUGUUUUGGCGGAUGAGAGUAAGAUUUUCAGCC